rnacentral:rRNA from 1 species
AGUGAACGCUGGUGGUAGGCCUAACACAUGCAAGUCGAACGGCAGCACAGUAAGAGCUUGCUCUUACGGGUGGCGAGUGGCGGACGGGUGAGGAAUACAUCGGAAUCUACUUUUUCGUGGGGGAUAACGUAGGGAAACUUACGCUAAUACCGCACACGACCUACGGGUGAAAGCAGGGGAUCUUCGGACCUUGCGCGAUUGAAUGAGCCGAUGUCGGAUUAGCUAGUUGGCGGGGUAAAGGCCCACCAAGGCGACGAUCCGUAGCUGGUCUGAGAGGAUGAUCAGCCACACUGGAACUGAGACACGGUCCAGACUCCUACGGGAGGCAGCAGUGGGGAAUAUUGGACAAUGGGCGCAAGCCUGAUCCAGCCAUACCGCGUGGGUGAAGAAGGCCUUCGGGUUGUAAAGCCCUUUUGUUGGGAAAGAAAAGCAGCAGGUUAAUACCCCGCUGUUCUGACGGUACCCAAAGAAUAAGCACCGGCUAACUUCGUG